rnacentral:rRNA from 2 species
AACGAACGAGACUCUAACCUGCUAACUAGUACGUCUGCAAUAUUAUGCGGCUUUCACGUAUGGGCUUCGGUCUGUUCGUGGAGCCAUAUAAGCAGGCGAAACUUCUUAGAGGGACUGGUGUCCUAUAAGGCACACGAGAAAGAGCAAUAACAGGUCUGUGAUGCCCUAAGAUGUCCGGGGCCGCACGCGUGCUACAAUGACGAUGCUAAUGAGUGUGAAAUCCUGGCUCGGAAGAGUUGGGCAAACUUGUUAAUCAUCGUCAUGCCUGGGAUUGGGGUUUGUAAUUAUUCCCCAUGAACCAGGAAUUCCUAGUAAGUACAAGUCAUUAGCUUGUGCUGAUUACGUCCCUGCCCUUUGUACACACCGCCCGUCGCUACUACCGAUUGAAUGGUUUAGCAAGGCCAUCGGAUUGGCGUUCAUGUGGCGUCAGUCGCAGAAUGCUGAGAAGAUGACCGAACUUGAUCGUUUAGAGGAAGUACAAGUCGUAACAAGGUUUCCGUAGGUGAACCUGCGGAAGGAUCAUUACACAUUUCC